rnacentral:rRNA from 1 species
GACGAACGCUGGCGGCGUGCUUAACACAUGCGAGUCGAACGGAAAGGCCCUGCUUUUGUGGGGUGCUCGAGUGGCGAACGGGUGAGUAACACGUGAGUAACCUGCCCUUGACUUUGGGAUAACUUCAGGAAACUGGGGCUAAUACCGGAUAGGAGCUCCUGCUGCAUGGUGUGGGUUGGAAAGUUUCGGCGGUUGGGGAUGGACUCGCGGCUUAUCAGCUUGUUGGUGGGGUAGUGGCUUACCAAGGCUUUGACGGGUAGCCGGCCUGAGAGGGUGACCGGACACAUUGGGACUGAGAUACGGCCCAGACUCCUACGGGAGGCAGCAGUGGGGAAUAUUGCACAAUGGGCGGAAGCCUGAUGCAGCAACGCCGCGUGCGGGAUGACGGCCUUCGGGUUGUAAACCGCUUUCGCCUGUGACGAAGCGUGAGUGACGGUAAUGGGUAAAGAAGCACCGGCUAACUACGUG